GAAAAAGCAGUGGUUUGGUUCCUAUAUGAGCAGUCCACCCGUAACCUUCAGGGAUAUAAAACCCAUUG
rnacentral:ncRNA from 1 species